rnacentral:misc_RNA from 1 species
AUGAAUGAUUUUUCUUCUCUUUGGGUUAAAAGUCCAAAGGGGGGAAGAAAACAACCUCAUAUUUCCUGUGAACUGUGUGCAUUUGGGGGCUUUCCCAAAUGCUACUACUACUAACAACGUCGUUGAAUGUCAUUGCGUCUGUGUAAUGCAGAUUAUAAAACAAAAUA